rnacentral:misc_RNA from 1 species
GAUGAAGAACGUAGCGAAAUGCGAUAAGUAAUGUGAAUUGCAGAAUUCAGUGAAUCAUCGAAUCUUUGAACGCACAUUGCGCCCCCUGGUAUUCCGGGGUGCAUGCCUGUUCGAGCGUCAUUUCACCACUCAAGCCUCGCUUGGUAUUGGGCAACGCGGUCCGCCGCGUGCCUCAAAUCGACCGGCUGGGUCUUCUGUCCCCUAAGCGUUGUGGAAACUAUUCGCUAAAGGGUGUUCGGGAGGCUACGCCGUAAAACAACCCCAUUUCUAAGGUUGACCUCGGAUCAGGUAGGGAUACCCGCUGAACUUAAGCAUAUCAAUAAGCGGAGGA